GUGCUCGCUUCGGCAGCACAUAUACUAAAAUUGGAACAAUACAGAGAUUAGCAUGGCCUGGAAAUUCGCAAGGAUGACAUGCAAAUUCGUGAUGCGUUCCAUAUUAAA